rnacentral:lncRNA from 1 species
GUUUCCCUUCCCGGGAAUUCCCGGAGCUCCCUCGGCCUCAUCCCGGGAAAUCAAAACUGGAAAAAUCCCAUCGGGAUCGGCUCCCUGUCCCCAAACCCUCGGGAAUUCCCGAAGGAAAUCCCGAAUUUCAGGAUGGGAUUGAGCGGUGGGGGCUCGGGAAGAGCCGGAAUUCCCAAAAUCCCCCCCAGGACGCGGCUCCAGCUCCUCAAAAACGGGGUUUUUCCAAGGGAAACUGAGGCCGGGAGAAUCCAUGGGAAAAAAAAUAAUAAAAAAAAAUUAAAAAAUAAAAAAGCUGGAAAUGAGAGGAAAAAAACGCCAGGAAAAGCAGAUUUUAUGGAUGUUGGGAAAAUUCUUUAUUUUGGGGUGAGAAGCGCCGGAAUUGGGCAAAACCCAGAGGAUCCGGGAUGGGAAAAUCCAGGGGGAUCCUGGCACUGCCCAGCUGCUCCAGGGGGAGUUUUGGGUUGAAAAAGGAGAUUUUUGGGAAAAUCCUGGUCACACAUGGGAGUCAGGAGGAAAAUCUCCCUCGCCAGCCCCAAUUUCCCCGGUUUUAGCCCCAAAUCCCUCGGGAAACGACACCAGGAGAGACAAAAACUUGAAUUUAUUUUCACCUUCAUCAUCAUAAAUUUGGGGCAAAAAGUUUGGGAAAAGGGUCAGAGCCGGAGCUUCGUGUUUUCCUGGGAAGCAGCAGCGCCAGGAGCCCGUAAUUAAUUGGUUUUGCGCUAAUUAACUCUAAUGAGGGCGAGGGGUGACGCCAGGACGGGGAGGAUCCCGUGCCUGGAUUCCCAAAUUCCCUUUUCUCAGGGGUGAAAUUCCUCCGUGUGCCGAAACAUCGGGGGGUUCACCAAAAUUCCAGGAGUUUUCACCAAAAUUCCAGAUGUUUUCACCCCAAUUCCAGGAAUUGUUUUCUCCCCAGUUCCAGAUGUCUUCUCCCCAAUUCCAGGAAUUGUUUUCACCCCAAUUCCAGAUGUUUUCUCCCCAAUUCCAGAUGUUUUCUCCCAAUUCCAGAUGUUUUCUCCCCAGUUCCAGAUGUUUUCUCCCAAUUCCAGAUGUUUUCUCCCCAGUUCCCGCUCCUGCCGGAGCCAGCUCAGAUCCUCACCACCUGGGCGGCCACGCAGGGGCUGCUCCGGGGCUCGGCCCCGGAAUUGGGAUUGUUCCCGGGAUUUUCCCUGGGAUUGUUCCCUGGGCUGUUCCCAGGAUUGUUCCCAGGCUCAUUCCCGGGAUUCUCCCCGGGAUUCUCCCCGGGACUGUCCCGGUGCCGCUCUCUCCGCAGCAGCAGCCGCCCGUAGGUGCCCCCGGCCCGGCCCUUGGUCAGACGGCCGGGAUUGACACAGACACAGCCCAGGACGUCCUGCGGGGAACGGGAACCGGGGAACAGGAACCGGGAACCGGGGAUGGGAAUCAGGGAAUGGGAAUCAGGGAAUGGGGAAUCAGGGGAUGGGGAUGGGGACAGGUGUUGAAAAUCCAUGGAUUCAGCGGAACCAGGAGCCCACAGGAACCCAGAUCCCAAAAUUCGCCAUUUCCAGAGGAUUGGGGUCCCUCCAGCCCAGCCCCGACCCCCAGCUCCAAUCCUGACCCCAAUCCUGGCUCCAAUCCCAAUCCCUGCUCCAAUUCCAAUCCCAAUCCCACACCAAUCCCAUUCCCACCCCGUUCCUAUUCCCAUUCCCAUUCCCCCAUUCCCACCCUGUUCCCAUUCUAUUCCCAUGCCGUUCCCAUCCCCGUUCCCAUCCCAAUCCCGUUCCCAUUCCCAUCCCCAUUCCCCCAUUCCCAUUCUCCUGUUCCCACCCCAUUCCCAUUCCCGUUCCCAAUCCCAUUCCCAUUCCCCCAUUCCCAUUCCCCCAUUCCCAUUCCAUUCCCAUUCCUGUUCCCACCCCAUCCCCAUCCCCAUCCCAAUCCCGUUCCCAUUCCCCCAUUCCAUUCCCACCCCGUUCCCAUUUCCCCAUUCCCAUCCCCAUUCCCGUUCCCAUCCCAUUCCCAGUUCCCAUUCCCAUCCCCCCAUUCCCAUCCCAUUCCCCCCAUUCCCAUCCCAUUCCCCCAUUCCCAUCCUGUUCCCAUCCCAUUCCCAUCCCGUUCCCAUUCCCAUUCCAUUCCCCCAUUCCCAUUCUCAUUCCAUUCCCAUCCCCAGUCCCAUUCCCAUCCCCAUUCCCGUUUCCCGUUCCCGUUUCCCGUUCCCAUUCCCAUUUCCCAUUCCCAUUCCUGUUCCCACCCCAUUCCCAUCCCCAUUCCCAUCCCCAUCCCCAUUCCCGUUUCCCAUCCCCAUUCCCAAUCCCAUUCCCAUCCCCAUUCUCCCAUCCCCAUUCCCAGUUCCCAUUCCCAUUCCCAUUCCCGUUCCCAUUCCCCCGUUCCCGUUCCCGUUCCCCCGUUCCCAUUCCCAUUCCCAUUCCCACCCCAUCCCCGUUCCCGUUCCCACCUUGAGGAAGAAGCGCAGCUCCGAGGGCGUCACCAGCACGUCCGGGGUCACCGGCAGCGCCGGCAGCGCCUCCAGGUGAACGUUCAGCUCCUCCGAGGGCGGGAACAGCG